AUUGAACGCUGGCGGCAGGCCUAACACAUGCAAGUCGAACGAGUGGCGGACGGGUGAGUAAUGUCUGGGAAACUGCCCGAUGGCAGGGGAUAACUACUGGAAACGGUAGCUAAUACCGCAUCCCAUCGGAUGUGCCCAGAUGGGAUUAGCGAGUAGGUGGGGUAAAGGCUCACAUAGGCGACGAUCCCUAGCUGGUCUGAGAGGCGGACCAGCCACACUGGAACGGAGACACGGUCAAGACUCCUACGGUAGGCAGCAGUGGGGAAUAUUGCACAAUGGGUGCAAGCCUGAUGCAGCCAUGCCGCGUGUAUGAAGAAGGCCUUCGGGUUGUAAAGUACUGUCAGCGGGGAGGCGUUACCCGCAGAAGAAGCACCGGCUAACUCCGUGCCAGCAGCCGCGGUAAUAC
rnacentral:rRNA from 1 species